GAAAAAGAAAAGAACUGGUACAACACGAGAUCAACAGGAAGAUUUAUAUAGCAAUAUAGCAGAAAGAAAUCCAAUCAACCCUCCACCCGAUACAGCCUCGCCCAAUCAGAAUGAAGGUCUUUAUGCCAGUGUUGAAUGUCAGAGUGCUGCUGACUCCGGGAACACGGCUUCUGCCGAGAAAGCUUCUGCCUGUGAGGAUGAGGUUCAGUACGCUAGCGUCAGAUUUACCCGCACCGGUGCUGACUACAGGCCCAGGAAUGCUGAAGACCCCGGUGCCAUCUACAGCAGUGUGAAAUAAACACCAUUCACCCAUUGAUUCAACCUCAGCACAACUUCCAUCUGGUCUCAGCAGAAAACUUCUGAAUCCUUUUCAGAUUUACACACUAACAUAAGCCAUUGUUAAAAUAUAUUUUUUUCUUUUUGUGCAUAUUAUAAUUGCUAUAUUUAUACCAAGUGUAAACUAGGGGGACUAAAUUAAAGCAACCAUUGAUAAUUGUAAUAUUUAAAGAUAUGUUUAAAUGUGAAUUCAGUAAAACAUCUCAGCACCAGGAAUGACUUAACCGAAGUUAAAAUCCCAGUAGGUCCAGCUAAACUACAAAAACAUGUUUACAUUCAUCUGUUCAGGAUUACCUUCUCACCAUCACCAGAUUUUCAGAAUGUUUUAUUGCAAGAAAAGAGAUUAUGAUUUGCAACAUGUUUUGAGCAUCAGUGUUAGCAUUACUGAAGUGAAAUGAGGAAAAGGGCAGAAGAUUGUUUAAACAGUUGUAACUUGGAAUCCAGCUUAAUUGAAUUGUAAUCUAGUAAAAGUGUGUGUGUGUGUGUGGGGGGGGGGGGGGGGGGGGAUAUUUAUUGAUAAUAUUCAAAGGUUCAGUAUAUCCAUAAUUUAUGUAUUUGCUUAUGUAUAAUAAACUAUAUGAUAACUGUUGUGUUGAAUUAUAAUGUUUGUAAAUUCAAGUGAAACCGGGACUUUUGAUUUUGUAGAAUAACAAAACACAGUUCUAAAAGUAAAAACUCCCUUUAUUAAUUGCACAAUUUAAACAUUUAACUGAAGCUAAUAGUCUCAUCACUGUACUGUGCUUGAAAGCUUAUGUAAAUGAAAAAUACUUUUAUGCUUUCAUCACAAUCAUGCAAUCACUUUUAUGCAUUGAUUAUAUGUCACGAGGGCGGCUCUUCGCAG